UACGUAGGGGGCAAGCGUUAUCCGGAUUUACUGGGUGUAAAGGGAGCGUAGACGGACUGGCAAGUCUGAUGUGAAAGGCGGGGGCUCAACCCCUGGACUGCAUUGGAAACUGUUAGUCUUGAGUGCCGGAGAGGUAAGCGGAAUUCCUAGUGUAGCGGUGAAAUGCGUAGAUAUUAGGAGGAACACCAGUGGCGAAGGCGGCUUACUGGACGGUAACUGACGUUGAGGCUCGAAAGCGUGGGGAGCAAACAGGAUUAGAAACCCCGGUAGUUCCGGGACU
rnacentral:rRNA from 1 species